AGUGAGGUGCCUGAUUAAAGGAUCAUUUCGAUAUGAUGAGUAAAGUGUUUUCGCACCCUCACUU
rnacentral:tRNA from 1 species